AAAAAAAGCUAGUAAACAGGCUAUUAAUAAAUGAAUAUAUAUUUUUUAUGAUUUCAUGUUUUAUUUGUUCAGGGCAUUAUCUGUGACUGUGUAGAAUCUGUCGAGAUGGCUUUGAUUUCUUGAUUUGAUUUUCUGAUGCGUCUUCCUAAUGAGCACCUUGACCUAACAUCGACUUUACACGUCAGCCUUAUCUUAUGGUUAAAUUUUAGCUGAGCAGCUUGUAAAAAUAUAAAUCUGUUCAGAGUUCAUUUAUGAAAAUCACAAGAGAAAUGUGAACAGCUUUUAGUUGAUAUGCUGCUGUCUAGAGGUUAAUGGAACGAUGGUUGGUUCAUUAAUGAUUGGACUGAGGUAGGUUUGAAAAAAAUAAUAUUAAUUUACUGUUUAAAUCUGCACUUUAAUGUUUUUUUUUCAUUGACUACUGUAAUGUCAGUGUAUUUUCAUGUGUAUUAAUCUAUAUUUAGUGAGUGCCUUUUGUAUUAAUACAGAAAUAUAACAGAACUAUGCUGUGAAAAUGUAUCCAAAUAGAAUGUUUCACAUUCGAAUAUAAGAUUUAAGAAUAUCAAAGUUUCUUCUAGCAGCAGUGUCUGAAAGUAUUGAGUUUUGCUGGACUGAAAAAGGCAUCUGGUUUUGACAGGUAAUUAUACAAAUCUGUUUUGCUUACUUUAUAUACAAAGACCUUAUUAAAUAAACAGAACUUUAACCCUCUCAACUUGUUUGUGCAUGUUAUACAAAUAGGAUCUUUUUUAUUUUUAAUUAUUAUUAUUAUUAUUAUUAUUAUUAUCAUUAUUAUUGUAUUGUGUGUUUAUUAGUGUUACAUGUUAACAAUACACUUUAAAGGGCACCAAAGUGUUACAUGUUUUUAAUAUUCCUUGAGUAUAUCUUAAGUAAUUUGUUACAUAAUCUUGUUCUGUGAGUUCCUGGACUGUUGCCUCUACAAUGAGUGUCAAUGAGAGAAGAGGAGAGGAAGGUGCUGCUCGGACAAAUAAAGCAGUAUCUCCAAAACCCUGUCUUGAGUCUAUGAAGAGCUUCGAGUCCAUUGGCAGCCCCCCUAACAUUAAUGAUUCCAAAUCCAGCAAUGCCUUUAAAGAAGAGGGUGCUGUUCAGACAUAUAAAGCAGCAUCUCAAAAACAUGGUCUUGUGUCUAUGAAGAGCUUUGAAUCCAUUGGCAGCCCCCCUAAUUUUAGUGAUUCCAGCAAUUCCUUUAGUAAGAACGGUCUUGUUUUAAUGUUUCGGUCCCAUUUUGAUUCAUGUAAAGGUUUUUAAAAUUUCAUUAUACACUACUAGUCAAAAAGUCUUUGGACAGUAAGUUUUAAUGUUUUUUUUUUUAUUAUUAUUAUUAUUAUUUUUAAUAAUUCUCUUCUGCUCACCAAACCUGCAUUAUUUUUUAAUCAAAAAUACAGCAAAAGCACUUAUAUUGUGAAAUAUUUUUACUAUUUAAAAUAACUGCUUUAUAUUUUAAUAUAUUAAAAAAUGUAAUUU
ensembl:lncRNA